GGAAACCCACUGAAAUGUGAGCAAACCUUACAAACCGAGUGCGGAACAGCGGUACGAGCAUUUGUGUUUCGUUUUUUCUCGAAGUGCUGGGUAUAAGUGAUAAAGUGUCUCGUUUAUUGCAUUGAUGGAAUGUUUGAAGGAAAUUGAUACCCCUGUCCUCUUCCUCCUUUAAAAGAAUGAGAAUUCAGGCGUUCAGGUGAGAUUUGAUGUAUUCUGUCUGUCUUGUAUGAAUGAUAUGCAACCUGUUCAGCAAGUUGAAUUGACAAGUAUAUCAAAAAUCGAAUGAUAAUGCGUCGUAUACAUGGGUCGUAUAGUAUGGUCCUAGAAUGAAUUCCGUAUUCGAUUAUUCAAGCAUCAUUUUGAACAAUGGGUUUGUUUUUCUUUCGCUCAGAAAUCCUCAAAGGCUGAGAAAAGGUCGAAUAAAUAUUUCGUAGUAAUGUGUACAAGCAUCGAGCUCAUACGAAACUUGGUCUAUCGUUUCCCUGGGCGGCUCUGAUUGGCCCGUCAAUGAAGAGUGGGGAGCCGUCUGUAUGAACGCAGCGACCCUAGUCGCUCUCCGCACUUCGAAUCGUCUGGUUCGUAUCCGCAAGACUCCUCGUAAAUUCAAUUAUACCCUAAUAAAAUCACGAUCUAAAAGUGUUGUAAAUCAACUGGAGAAUUCUCACUACAACUAAACGAAUAACAUGCCUCAAUUAAACAAACCAAGUAAGGUAAUCAGACGUAUCAAAGUUAGUGGGAGCCGCUCGGUCUACCGCGCCACCAAACGCGAGGAGGUGGGCAUAGUAUACUGCGCAUCACGCAACGACGCCAUUUUAUUUUCUCGUCGAACUUUGAAUCUUCUGCUGUUUACCGCUGAGCUCUUCUAACUCAACAUACUUAACUUGGCCAUCUCUACCAUGAUCUGGAUGGGUGCAUACGAAUAUUUAACAACGUAAACAUCCGUAACGAACCACCUUACUGCGUAAAAUGACAAUCGUUUUUACUGCAUCCAAUGGAGUCACCUCGUACGUACAUAGCAUGAUUAUCGACCGCGCACAUAAAGUGGAAAAUCUCGCAUCGUUCUUCGUGGGAGCAUCGCAUCAACUUCCCAUCUUAUUACAUUCAACCCACUACAUUCAACUUAUAACGUUUCAACCUACUACACAGCUAUAGCCAUCAGGGAGGCAGAGACAUCCGGAUAAAAUCCAAGACCCCCGAGACCUGGGAACCGGCUCGGGUCCGGUCUUGGUACCGGCAGCGAUGGUGAGCGCAGUUAAAGUUCCUCGACUUCUUUGCCAGCUCACGCGAUGGUGAACGCUGGCGUUGGAGUCGUUGUAUUUUAUAUAUUUUUAUCCCCCUUCCCUUUUUGUCACGUGGCGUGGCGGUACUCUGUUUUCAAUUUCACUAUAUCAGGUAAUUGUAGGGUUGGUUGUCGUUGAGCAUAGCGCAUCUGCACCCUGUAGCGUCAAUCAUGUAAAACUCUUCCUUCAAAUUAAUAAGUGAAAAAAUCAAUGAAUGAUUUAGUCAGUCGGUAGGUCAGUUUAUUCAUUAGUCAAUCAGUUAUUUCAGUAGUUAAUCAUUAGUUCGUCAAAUAUGAACUGUUCAAAUAAAUCACAUCUUUGAUAAAGUUAAGUGCAAGAGUGCGCAGCUCAUAGGCAACGGUAAAGGCCGUCGUUCAAUCGACUGUCGCGUUUUAUAAAUUUCCUAUAAUUUUCGGUGACCGAUCUCGUUUGCGUCGAUCACUGAUCGGUAAUAAAAUUUUGUCGUGCGAAUGAUGGUCAUUACCAUAGAUUCAGCUUUUUCAGGUACACCAGGAAUUGACUUGGAUAGCUUCCGCGAGUAGUCAGAAUUCAUUUAGUCUCAAUUUAAUGAUCAGCCAUCAGCUGAAUCAAUUUUGAAUUUGAUCUCUAUAUUUUUUUAUCUAUUUGCAUGUUCAAAAUUUGAAUUCUUUCAACUCAAUUUUGAUCAAACUUGAACCCGUCUUUAGGUACCGAUAAGUAAAUUCACUAGAACUAUAACAGGAUGUCUAAUCAUUUCAGGUAUUUUCUUCCCUUACACACAAUUUUCAGCCCUUAACUUUUUCUUGCUUAAUGAAUAUUAUAUGAGAUUAAUUAAUCUCAUUUUCUUCCUGAUGAUAUUUACUCAAGAGUAAAUUUACUAAAUUCAUUUAAAGAUCAUUGAUGUUUUUUAAAUUUCGGCCAGAUAGCAAACACACCUUUUCUCAAAAUUUAAAUAAAUUACGGCUUCGGCCGGGGCAUGGGCAGCCUUUAUAUUUCCACACACACAACAGGUCAACAGUAAGUUUUUUGAACGAGAUACCACGGCAAUGAAUGUGAGAUGUGAGUGAGACGAAAUUCUCGGUGCGCCGGCGCAAGUAUGAAUUGGGGUUUUCGUCAGUAAAAUCAUUUCUUGGAUAAUUAUAGGUGAAAGGCAGGUAUAGGUAAAUUCAUGCAUCGCGAGGGCAUUUAUAAGCAGUGUGUAUGUGAAUAAUAGUUUUAACCGUUGGGUGGGAUGUGGGCUCCACAAAAUGGGUAGGCAAGAAAUCGGGAGCGCAACUUUUCUUUCCACAGCAAUUCCAAGUGAUCAAUUGAGUAGAAUUCCGAUCAAAUUCCGUUAAUUAAUUUUAUGUAACAUUUAACUCCAUAUUUUUCAAAUGAGUCUCUUCACGCGGUCUAUUAGAUCUCUUUGCUGAGAUCUACUAGAUCAUUUUCCUUUCAACAAUUCACAAACAAAUCAAAUUAAAUUAAGUUUUUUGCUUCCCUGUAACAUUCCUGGUCACUUGGAAUGGGCGAAAUGCGUCCGCCUUGCUCUCCGUACCAGCCGUGGUGCAUGGAAGUGAGGUGGACGUUGAGCUCGAAGACGUCGCGUCGAAGAGGAUCGCCGACCGUCACGCCACAAAUUUGUAAACCUUUCUCCGUUCCACUCCCCAAUGUUAAUUGGAAUAGAAGGAUGCGAUUAAAAAUUGCAUUUCUUCGAUUUCCAUUAGCAUAAAUAUUCC